rnacentral:misc_RNA from 1 species
UUUCCGUAGGUGAACCUGCGGAAGGAUCAUUAUUGUAUAACCGAGGUGCGAGGGCUGUCGCUGACCCGAAAGGUCGUGCACGCCCGAGUGCCCUAACACACAUCCAUCUCACCCCUAUGUGCACCACCGCGUGGGUCCCCCUUUGGCUUGUUCGGAGGGGGGCUUACGUUUUCACACAAACUUUGUAUGCAGUGUAGAAUGUAUUUUUUGUUCUUGCGAUCACGCAAUCAAUACAACUUUCAACAACGGAUCUCUUGGCUCUC